rnacentral:tRNA from 3 species
GGCCCUGUAGCGCAGUUGGUUAGCGUGCCGCCCUGUCACGGCGGAGGUCGCGGGUUCAAGUCCCGUCAGGGUCGCGA